CGUUCUGACCGUUCUGACGACGCAGUGUGCUGUGGUCCCCUGGGUAUGAGCAAUAUUUAGUGUUAAAAAAGACUACUGCACGAAAUACGGUCUGAUGUCCCUGUCGUGGUUCUUUGGCAGUAAAAAGAAGGUUCCUGAUACUGAGCCACAAGACUACACUGCAAAAUCACAAGGUGAUGGCUUCGUUUUUGUAGAGAGUGCGGAUAAUCAGCAAAGUGGCAGUGAUUGUGCAGGACCUUCUCAUUACCCUGCAUUACCGUAUUCACUUGCACCAGACUCAACAAUUGUUCCACAGACAUCUACAAAGGACACAAUUAACAUAUCUCAGAAUCACAAUUUGUUGUAUGGAGUACCUUUUAAGCUGCAUUCUGAUACUGCUUCAGUCAUAAAUGACCUUGUGUAUAGGUACAGAAGCCAUGCUAAUGAGGUGUUCUUGCAUAUAUCACAGUUAAAUCUGGAAUCAUUUGAGUAUCAUUUUCUUGUAGAAAGAAGUGUGGUGCUUGAAGUUGGAGACAGAGAUUUAGGUUAAUCAGAAGUGUGCCCAUCAUUUAUGGUGAUUAUAAAGCCUAUCACUAUGACAUCGUGGUGCAGUAUAUUACAUAUUGACAAUACAUUUAGAUGUUGAGAUACCAUAAGUAAUAUUAUCAUGUACAUAUGAACUUGAAUGUUAUCACUCUAAGGCAAUGUAAUGGUGCUGAAUGUUUCUUUAAAAAUAAGUUUGCAGUGAAUAUUUCUGUAAAAGUAAAAUAGUUUAAUUACAUUCCUCAUGGGUAAAUUUGAGUGAAUACAAAAGA